UGAGAUUCUACCAGUUUCCCUACUGGUUUGGUGAUCGCGCACUUUGUGCGCAUGCAGCUUUCCAAAUACCAGUUGAGGCACUGCCGCGUCAAUCAGCGGAGAGGAUAAAGAACAGAAAAGCGCAGGGGCGGGUGGGAGGACCGAUCCUGCCCUU